UGGGGAAUAUUGCACAAUGGAGGGAACUCUGAUGCAGCGACGCCGCGUGAACGAAGAAGGCUUUCGAGUCGUAAAGUUCUUUUAUAUGGGAAGAUAAUUACGGUACCAUAAGAAGAAGCCCCGGCUAACUACGUGCCAGCAGCCGCGGUAAUACGUAGGGGGCUAGCGUUGUCCGGAAUCACUGGGCGUAAAGGGUUCGCAGGCGGAAAUGCAAGUCAGGUGUAAAAGGCAGUAGCUUAACUACUGUAAGCAUUUGAAACUGCAUAUCUUGAGAAGAGUAGAGGUAAGUGGAAUUUUUAGUGUAGCGGUGAAAUGCGUAGAUAUUAAAAAGAAUACCGGUGGCGAAGGCGACUUACUGGGCUCAUUCUGACGCUGAGGAACGAAAGCGUGGGUAGCAAACAGG
rnacentral:rRNA from 1 species